rnacentral:lncRNA from 1 species
UGUAUUUAAAUAUAACAAUAUUAUACUGUGAUGAUAUUAUUCUAAUAUUGGAGAUCUAUAUUAUUAAUAUUAGGUCUUCGGGUAAAGCGUUAUAAAUUGCGUUGCGGUAAUCAACGGUUCAGGCAAGUUUGUUCUUACUUAACUCUAAUAAGAGUGUUUUAUUCAAGCUUAUGGUUAAUCAUUGCUGAUUGCCAUGAAAAUUGUACUCUGUACAUCUUGCAUGUAUAAGUCAGGUAUGAAAGGCUGAUCACCUUCAUUACCAGUUGGUUCAGAAAUGUUUGUUCAUGUUUAAAACUUGUUCAGUCAAAAGUUUGUUCCUGCUAGUUCUCAAUUAUAUUGAUGAAUUAUAGCAAGCCCAUUAUUCAUACUCUUCAAUCAUGAUAUAUCCUUAUAUUGUUGUAUUUAAACUUGCUG